rnacentral:lncRNA from 10 species
CCUCUGGUUUCUCUUCCCAGGCCAGGACCUAAACCGUUCACAACUCCCAGCAGGCCAGAGCUGCAGAGACCUCAGAUAGAGACUAUAAAGUGCUGUGGAAGCCUUGUUCAAAUAAAAACAUUCAUGAAUGUCCAGUACUUGAAAUUGUGACGGGGGUCUUGCUAGGUUGCCAAGGCUGGUCUUGAACUCCUGACUUCAAGCAGUCCUCCCACCUCAGCCUCCUAGGGUGUCCGGAUUACAGGCAUGAGCCACUGUGCCCGGCCCCCUAUCACGAUAUCCAUAAGAUGCCAGGAUGCCCAGGAACCGAGUUUGAAAGACAUUGUGCUGCUGAUCCCACCUCCUGACUUUACAGCUGCUGAAUUGCAGAAGACAAAUUGGUAGCUAACAGGAGGCUCCAUCCUGGAUCCUGCCCCUGUCCGUGAGAUUCAGCCUUGAUUAACUGUGUUCCCAUGCUGGUCGUGAGCAGGGCACCAUCCUAGGUCCUUCUUUAUACUCAUUUUCCAUCUCCAGCCAAAAUGGGUUGAACCGAGGAACAAGGACAUAAUCUGUAAAGAGCAAGUGCAAGUCUCUGCUCUGCCAUUACCAGCAUCAGGCUAAUCAAGCCCUUGGAAACUCAAUUUCUUCUCCUGUAAAAUGUGAAUAACUGUUACAGACCUGGAAAGGCUCUUGUGAGGCUGAAAUGAGAGCGGUGCCGCCCAUCUGUCAAGGUAGCCCAGGGCCUGGCGCCCAAGCAGCCCUGGGCACUUGCCCCUCUUCCCUUUUACUCUGCACCUCCUUUCUGUAGGCGUAGGACCCUGAGACCUGUCCCAGCUCAUCCCUCACAAGGCCCUCUGACUUCUUCAGAUAUCAGAGUGGAAUUGGAAGAAAGAAGCUUGCUUGAGUAGGUUUUUCUGGUUUCUUGAACAAUGGCGAUUCUAAGGAAAAGAGGUUCAGGAUGAGAAUGAGAGGAAGCCCACAGGCAUGUAGAAUAUGGCCACAGGUGGGACAAGAGUGCUUCCUUGGGAUGGGGGUCCUGGUUCCCUGAAGGAAAGGAGACAGGGCACUACUCCAGCUCCAGGAGUCUCAUAGGACAGGCCAAGAGGGCUGGGCAGACACCAUGCUGGCCGCUGAUCAGGCAUGACUCCUCUGCCAGCCUGCCCUCGCAGGCCAGCCCAGAACUUGCACAACAGUCGGCCUGGCUGGCACUCUCCCGGGAGCUUCAGGAAGUCCCCCUUGUCCUCCCCUUGACCUUUGACCCCUUGGGCCUGCUGCCGACCAGAAUACCAGGCAGAUGUUCUCUCUUUUACCUUUUGUUCCUGGUCUUUCCCUCUAAGGCUGGAACUCAGAGAUACCCCAAACCCCCAGCUUCCAGCUCAUCCUUCCCCAUGCUCUCAGUGCGGACCAGCUGGAGCCUCCACUGGGCCGCUCUCCAUGUGAGCCAGUGUGGAUCCUUGGCCACAGCCGGCAGGACGCUUGCAAGUGCCCCGACUCCAGACAUCCUCCCAGGUGUCCUUCCCGACUAGCUCCCUGUCCCAGGCCCCAGCAGGUGAAGCAGGAACAGCAGACAGAGCCUCCUUCCCUCCCCGGCAUCCUCUGAACAGUCAAAGUUGGAAGAACCCUAGAUAUUGUUCCACAUUAAACUAUGCACGCCUCGUGGCA